rnacentral:tRNA from 1 species
GGAAUUGUGGCUCAGUGAUAGAGCUCUUGUCCAGCAUAUAUGAGGCCCUGGGUUCAAUCUUCAGCACCA